UGUACUACGCCGGAUGAACGGAAAUCAUUGAUGUUGAUUAAUAUGGGAGUUUUCUCUGGUACUA
rnacentral:tRNA from 1 species